UAGGGAAUCUUCGGCAAUGGGGGGAACCCUGACCGAGCAACGCCGCGUGAGUGAAGAAGGUUUUCGGAUCGUAAAGCUCUGUUGUUAAGGAAGAACGAGUGUGAGAAUGGAAAGUUCAUGCUGUGACGGUACUUAACCAGAAAGGGACGGCUAACUACGUGCCAGCAGCCGCGGUAAUACGUAGGUCCCGAGCGUUGUCCGGAUUUAUUGGGCGUAAAGCGAGCGCAGGCGGUUAGAAAAGUCUGAAGUGAAAGGCAGUGGCUCAACCAUUGUAGGCUUUGGAAACUGUUUAACUUGAGUGCAGAAGGGGAGAGUGGAAUUCCAUGUGUAGCGGUGAAAUGCGUAGAUAUAUGGAGGAGCACCGGUGGCGAAAGCGGCUCUCUGGUCUGUAACUGACGCUGAGGCUCGAAAGCGUGGGGAGCGAACAGG
rnacentral:rRNA from 2 species